AAAGUCAUUAACAAUAAAGCCAAGAUGGGGAUAAGGUAUGCUUAAAAGUUAGCACAGCUGUUGAUAAGUAGAUUAGCUCACGAAAUGUAUGUUGUUAGCGUUGUUGACAGCAAAAUGUAUUCAUUUGACACCCCGAAAUAAAAGAUAACACGUUAAAAUGGGCCUCCGUAAGAAAAGAAAGCUUAGCAAACAAGUCGCCGCUUGAAGAUCAGGGAAGUGACGACGUUUGUUUUUUUCUGGAAUCUUCCAACAACUGGACGUCGACGACAGGCCGCCAAGGCGUUGGCUGAUACGGACGGACCAUUCGCUUCAUUUGUCGCCAUCGUGGAGCUAAUUGGACCUCCGGAGGAAUAACGAGGUGACCCGGUGAAAGCGACUCGUGACUUUGGCUUCGUCAGCUAACGAUUUUUCAGAUGACGUCAUCAUCCGGUUUUACCCGACGUGCAAGUCACCUUCGCUAUCCACGAUCCGUCACCCCCUCGCGCCGCCACGUUUGACAUUUCAUCGGCGUGGAAACGCCUCAGCGAUAUGUUGCAGGUCCAUCCCGACUGAUUGACGAGCAGGUCGCAGCCCUCGUCGUCCAAACACGGACUCAUCUCGCACCACUGACGACUCAGCACGAUGUCAGCUGACCGGACAGGAAGAAAGAUGAGUUGUUGGCAUUAUUAGUGCUUAGCUAGAUGCUAACCUUAAGCUAACUGCACACAAGAUAGGUAAGGACACAUGUAUCUAAAAAUGCUAAGUUGCUAACUGAUGCCUACAGGAAGUGAAAUGCUUUUCGGAGGUGGAAAGUGAAUAAAAUGUGGACAAAUGUAUUGGGACAGCUACAGGAAAUGGAAAACCUGGACAAAAGUAUUGGGACACCUGCAGGAAGUAAAAAGUAAAGAAGAUGUGGAUAAAAGUAUUCGGACAAUUGCAGAAAUCAAAUUAUGGAGUUUGGAAAAAAUUAUCGGGACAUACAGGAAGUGAAAAGGGAAGGAAAUACAAACAAACAUAUUUGGACACUUACAGAAAGUGAAAAGUAGAUCAAAUGUGGACAAAAUAUAAAUAUUAGUUUUGGGACACGUGCAAAACAAAAAUAUUGUGGGAAGUGAUUCUAAUGUGGCCAAAGGUAUUGGGACAAACAAAGUGAAAAGUGGAAAAAAUGUGGACAAUAGUUUUGGGACACCUACAGGAAGUGAAAUGUGGAGUUCGGAUAAACGUUGUCCAACUAGUCUGACGUGAAUACCGUGAAUACUGCACAUGAACAGGAUACAAAGCUAUGCGCCGAAAAAAAAGCCUCCAAGCUCAAACUGGAUGAUACAAGCGCUGCCACUUGAGUCCUGUAGGUGGCGGUAAUGUAUGCAAUCAAGCUUUUUUUUUCAAAGCAGCUUCUUCUGCUGGGUCACUGUCCCUUCCACGGCUUGUCUAUCUAUCGGCACAGCACACCGACAUCAAAACCUGAUCCCAACUGCGAAGCACGGCGGAGGGAGCGUCACGAUGUGGGCGUGCGUGCUUUUCAAGCUCAGGGCCUGGACAGCUCGCUAUCGUCCACGGGAAAAUGAACCGACAAGUUUCAUUAUCAAGAUGUUUUGCAGAAGAACUUGAGGCUACCUGUCCAACAGUUGACGCUCAAAAGAGGACAACGGGACAAUGAUCCAAAACACAGACGCAACUCAACAAAAGAAUGGCUACCGAAGAAGAAAACAUGUUCUGGAGUCAAAGUCCUGACCUCAACCCGAUUGUGGCAUGACCUCGAGAGAGCUUUCCACAGCCGACAUCCCUGCAAGAAUCUGGCUGAACAUCAACAGUUUUGGAAAGAGGAAUGGUCCAAAAUUCAUCCCGAUUGUUGUGCACGUCUGAUCUGCAACCACUCGUUGCUGCCAAAGGGUCAACCAGUUGUCAUCACCAUAAAUCAAAGGCUUCACUUAUUCUCUCCUCCCUCUCCUACGAA